rnacentral:rRNA from 1 species
CCGACUGGAUGAGGGGCCUGCGUAGCAUCAGCUAGUUGGUGGGGUAAUGGCCUACCAAGGCGAAGACGCUUAGCUGGUCUGAGAGGAUGAUCAGCCACACUGGGACUGAGACACGGCCCAGACUCCUACGGGAGGCAGCAGUGGGGAAUAUUGGACAAUGGGCGCAAGCCUGAUCCAGCCACGCCGCGUGAGUGAUGAAGGCCUUCGGGUCGUAAAGCUCUGUGGGGAGGGACGAACGGCGCCAUGAAGAGUGGCGAUUGACGGUACCUCCUUAGCAAGCACCGGCUAACUUCGUGCCAGCAGCCGCGGUAAUACGAAGGGUGCAAACGUUGCUCGGAAUCAUUGGGCGUAAAGCGCACGUAGGCGGCUUUCUAAGUCGGAUGUGAAAUCCCUCGGCUUAACCGAGGACGUGCAUCCGAAACUGGGAGGCUUGAGUAUGGAAGAGGGUCGCAGAAUUCCCGGUGUAGAGGUGAAAUUCGUAGAUAUCGGGAGGAAUACCAGUGGCGAAGGCG